rnacentral:lncRNA from 1 species
ACAAUACUCUUGAAAGACAAUAAUUGCCAAUCAUAAAAAGUAACAUACACAUAAAAAGUAGCAAAUUAAAAAUCAGAAUUGCAAUACUUAUAAAUAACAUAUGCAAAUAAUAGACUUAUGUCCUGUGUUUUGUAUAGAAUCAAGGUUUCAGACAUCCAAGGAAGGAAUGAAGCAGCAUAAGCUCUCAAGCCCUGCGAAGGCGAAAGCUCUUAGGCGGCCACUGCGAAUAAAUGAGAAACAAGCCUUCAGGAUUAUCAUCAGAAACCUCAACACAAGUUCUUACAUUGUGAUUCUAACUCCAGGCAUUACAAACCCCAAAAGUUCAAAAGCAAUGUUUGAAUUUUCAGUGAUGUGUCACAAAGGCCUUUAAAAAAAUUGAAUUUUAAAAAUUGCAAAAUUAAUAAUAUUUAUUUUAAAAAAAAAAGAAGCAAGUCGAUAACUGAGACACAGAACAUUUUAUCAUAAUGUGCAACAAUUAGUAUCCUGUCAAUCUACCAACAUCACAAGAUGAUUCAACAAAAACAACAGAAAGUCAAAAGAAAUAACAAUUAAAGCUAACAAAAAAUACUUAAAGGUCUCAGACAUCCAAGGAAGGAUAAAAGCAGCAUAAGCUCUCAAGCCCGGCGAAGGCGAAAGCUCUUAGGCGGCCACUGCGAAUGUUUUUGAGAAACAAGCCUU